AAACCUGAUGGCACGGUGGUCAGGUAAAUAGUAUCCCAGCAUUGACAAGAAAAGCUACCUGCUCCAAUGCUCCCAUCCAGCAACAUUAGGUUACCAUCUAUUUUAUUUCCCCCUGCAAGUAGAGCGCAUAUCAUCUAGUAUCACUCAAGGUUUGGUUUCUGUUGGAGUGAGCACCUGACCUAGUCCACAGGGGUAUCCCCACCCACCCUCAGCUGCCUGCGACCAGCAGAGACGUGCUUCGUCAUUGCAAGACGCGUCACUGGAAUACUCGGAUCAAUAUGCUGUAACUUCUGAAGGCGUCGGGAAACACUUGAAUUAUGAUGGCGGAAUAAUACCAGGAAGAAAACAGGAAGAAACGUCUCACCUCUCAGAAGCCAGACCAGAGCUGCUCACCUGGCCUUUAGCAGAGAAUCUAGAUGUUACCUAGUGAAGACAAUGGAGGAGGCAGUCAUGCAGGAGGCAGCAGCAGACACAAGACGUCUCAUCUGGUCCAUUAACACCAUGUCUGUUUCCUGACUAUUACCAUUGAGAUUACGCUACAUUAAAAGACCCAGAGGAGAUCCUGAGCACUG
ensembl:lncRNA